AAUGAACGCUGGCGGCGUGCUUAACACAUGCAAGUCGAACGAGAACGGAAUAUAGCUUGCUAUAUUUGUCAGCUAAGUGGCGCACGGGUGAGUAAUGUAUAGAUAACCUGCCCUUAAGAAAGGAAUAACAGUUGGAAACGACUGCUAAUGCCCUAUAUGCCUUUAAUACAUAAGUAUGCAAGGGAAACGCUUUAGUGCUUAAGGAUGGGUCUGUAUGGUAUCAGCUUGUUGGUGAGGUAAUGGCUCACCAAGGCUAUGACGCCUAACUGGUUUGAGAGGAUGAUCAGUCACACUGGAACUGAGACACGGUCCAGACUCCUACGGGAGGCAGCAGUGGGGAAUAUUGCACAAUGGACGAAAGUCUGAUGCAGCAACGCCGCGUGGAGGAUGACACAUUUCGGUGCGUAAACUCCUGUUAUAUAGGAAGAUAAUGACGGUACUAUAUGAAUAAGCACCGGCUAACUCCGUGCCAGCCGCCGCGGUAA
rnacentral:rRNA from 1 species